rnacentral:rRNA from 1 species
UCCCAGACUCCUACGGGAGGCAGCAGUGAGGAAUAUUGGUCAAUGGGCGGAAGCCUGAACCAGCCAAGUCGCGUGAGGGAAGAAGGCCCUGCGGGUCGCAGACCUCUUUGGACGGGGAGCAAGGCCGCCGACGUGUCGGCGGAAGGAGAGUACCCGUAGAACAAGCAUCGGCUAACUCCGUGCCAGCAGCCGCGGUAAUACGGAGGAUGCGAGCGUUAUCCGGAUUUAUUGGGUUUAAAGGGUGCGCAGGCGGCGCGGCAAGCCGGCGGUCAAAUCGCGGGGCUCAACCCCGCCCAGCCGUCGGAACUGCCGGGCUAGAGUGGGCGAGAAGUGCGCGGAAUGCGUGGUGUAGCGGUGAAAUGCAUAGAUAUCGCGCAGACCCCCGAUUGCGAAGGCAGCGUGCCGUGCCGCCACUGACGCUGAGGCACGAAAGCGCGGGGAUCGAACAGGAUUAGAUACCCUGGUAU